AACGAUUCCCCCAUUGGUUCUGUCACGAGACCGCUUUCUUACCUUUGAACAAACGUACCAGCGACGCCCUCAGCACAUGACCAGCUACGCUGUUACUUUAGCUAGUGCUGGGGGCCUCUCAUUUGUUAUCUUCGAGCAACGCGCUUAGCUCCAGCGGGGCACAGUUUCGUGUACAACAGUGUUCUCUUUGCCUCAGACACAGACAAACACAGACACGUUUAAGCACAUCUCCACUCUGGCAUGCACUUGCCGAUUCUUCCUGAGCAACAUAUGAAGAAUCCGACCCUUCCUCACCAACUACGCCACCCAGCUCCUGGUCCAGGCCCUGGUACUCUCCCGCCUAGACUACUGCAACUCCCUCCUGGCUGGCCUCCCUGCGUCCGCCACCCAUCCGCUCCAGCUCAUCCAGAACUCCGCUGCUCGCCUGGUGUUCUCUCUGCCUCGCUUCUCCCACGCAACUCCACUGCUCCGCUCACUCCACUGGCUCCCAAUCACUGCUCGCAUCCAGUUCAAGACUCUUGUACUCGCCUACAGAUGCCUUGACUGAACUGCACCCAGCUACCUCCAGACCCUCAUCUCUCCCUACACCCCCACUCGACCUCUCUGCUCCUCCUGCACUAGAAGACUGGCUCUACCUCCUCUACGCUCCCCUGCCUCCAGAGCUCGCUCCUUCUCCACCCUCGCCCCGCAGUGGUGGAAUGACUUUCCUACAGAUGUCAGGACUGCCCAGUCCCUGACCACCUUCCGGCGCCUCCUCAAGACUCACCUCUUCAGACAGCACCUGUAGAACUCCUCUUUUCCCUCGGGACACUUUAUCACUCUUCCUUAAUGUGCUUUACUUGCACUUAUCUGCUCCCUAUUUUACUGCAUUUAAUCCUGUACUUUACAGAGUACUGUACUGUAAUCUGCCACUAACAUUUAAUCGUAUCUUGAUGUAACUAUCACUGACACUGUUAUCUGCUCUGAUAUUGAUUUGUAUUUUGUAAUAUACUUGUACUUACUAGAACUGAAGUCAUUGUAUUUUAUCUUGCUCUUAAUUGUAUUAAUACUUGUACUGUGAUUCUUGAAAUGUAUUUUUUAUUUAUGACUGUAAGUCGCCCUGGAUAAGGGUGUCUGCUAAGAAAUAAAUAAAUUAAUAAUAAUAAUAAUAAUAAUAAUACACAUGGCGGGAAGGGAGGAUGGGAUUUCCAGAAUUGCAAAAGAUUACAAACACGUGACAGGACAGGAGGGUGGGACUUCUGGAACUAUAAAACUACAAAUUUGGACCCGGAAGGGAGACGGGUCAAUCCUAAUUGGCUAAGAAAAGGGUCAGGGUACCGGUCAAAAUCAAGUGCCGCAUUCUCAUUGGUUAAAAAUUAACAUGGUGACAUCUGCAAUAGCAUAUACUACUACUGUACAUGCAAUACUGGCAAAAUACAAUAAACAUAUCGAUUAAAAAAAACAACAUGUUUUGGGGAUAUUAAUUUUGUUCAUAGAAUGAUGUUUUCACUUAUGAGUUGUAACUAAUGCAUUUGUACUGUGGGGAUAAGUUUUGAGAUGCACAUUUUUUUUUUUUAUACAAACGUUUUCAUACUAACCUUUGUACUUGGUGACAUUAAUUUAAAAAUCCAAUUGAUGCCUAUCAUUAAUACAUUUUGUGACUAAUCUGAACUAUGAAUAUGUUUCAAUAUUAACUAAAUCGAGUUAUUAAUCAAAUUGAUUAAUCUUGUUACACAAUUGAUUUAUUAAAAUGUUUGGAUAUACUGUUA